CUCUCUCUCUCUCUCUCUCUCUCUCUCUCUCUAUUUAUUUAAACCUAAGGUGGCGGCUUAGUUUGUCGUCAUAUCUAGCAAUGGGCAGAGCUACUAGUUCUUGUUCAUCUUCAAUUGACAGCAGCAAACACCCAUCUUUCUCUAGUGCUUCCUCUCCCUCAAAGCUAAAGAGAGAUCUCAGCACAGAUCUUAGGCUUGGACUUAGCAUCUCAGCCUCUCAACACAACUGCUCUUCUGCGCCAAGGGAGCAAACAUCGGAUUAUCUACCAGUUACGUCACUUGCAGAAGAAGGAAAUGAGUGCAAUGAACACGCCACCUUCUUUGUUAAGGUUUACAUGGAAGGCAUUCCAAUUGGAAGAAAACUAGACCUAUUGGCCCAUGAUGAUUACGAUGACUUAAUAAGGACUCUUGACCACAUGUUCAACACCAACAUUCUCUGGGGAGCUGAGGUGGAUAGAGUGCACCCUGAGAAAUUUCAUGUGUUAACUUAUGAAGAUGAGGAAGGAGACUUGAUGAUGGUUGGCGAUGUUCCUUGGGAGAUGUUCUUGUCCACUGUAAAGAGAUUGAAGAUCACAAGGGCAGGCCUGUGCUGAUUAAGUGACUUUGAUGCACACUUCUCUUUCUCUCCCUCCCAAUUUUGUCGACAGUGGAAUGAAAUCAAUCUAAUGUCCUCCAAAGCAUAGUACUAUUGUGAAAUAUGUUCUGAAGUUGCAUAUGUACAUUCAUACAUCAUACAGUGCUCAAGUUUCGAGGAUGGGAGACACUAGAACAUACAGCAGCUGACUGAGCAUGCUAGAAGAUCUCUCAAGUGGAGAGGUGAAUAAUGGUUUAUAAUUAACGAAGUUCAUUAAGCGUGGAGCAAUAAUCAGAGGAAACCGGAGGUUCAAGCUAACCUUACGAGUCUGCAUAGGAUUUUCAGUUGAUGGGUGGGUUUGAUGCUUUUGCAUUGGCCAAUACAAUUUCUUCGUACUGUGCUGUAUAAUACAUUCUAUCCCCUAAACAAUGAAUUAGGACAAUCUUACAGACCAUGCAUCUGUCUCUAUCUUCUGAAUGGAUAUGAGGAAAUGCAUGUAUCUAAAAUAUUCUAUUUCUUCUCUUUAAUAGGAUGUGGACCUUAGCUUUUUCUUCUUGUUUGAGAUGUCGGGUAUUUUAUCCAACCCCAGAGAAAAUCCAUGCCUGCGAAUGUUUAUCAGGUGGGCCAAACUAAGUUA